GACCUGCUGGUGUAGUGGUUACACACCUGCGUAAGAUCAAGAUGAAUUCAUGGCAAGAGUUAGCGGGAGAUUCCUCGUUCGACUCGGGGCCAGGUCC